rnacentral:rRNA from 1 species
GUGGGGAAUAUUGGGCAAUGGGGGAAACCCUGACCCAGCAACGCCGCGUGAGGGAAGAAGGUUUUCGGAUUGUAAACCUCUGUCCUUGGUGACGAAGGAAGUGACGGUAACCAAGGAGGAAGCCCCGGCUAACUACGUGCCAGCAGCCGCGGUAAUACGUAGGGGGCAAGCGUUGUCCGGAAUGACUGGGCGUAAAGGGCGUGUAGGCGGCCGAUUAAGUCUGGAGUGAAAAUCCUGCUUUCAAGGUGGGAAUUGCUUUGGAGACUGGUUGGCUUGAGUGCGGAAGAGGUAAGUGGAAUUCCCAGUGUAGCGGUGAAAUGCGUAGAGAUUGGGAGGAACACCAGUGGCGAAGGCGACUUACUGGACGAUGUCUGACGCUGAGGCGCGAAAGCUAGGGGAGCGAACGGGAUUAGAAACCCGUGUAGUCC